AUUGAACGCUGGCGGCAUGCCUAACACAUGCAAGUCGAACGAAGGCUUCGGCCUUAGUGGCGCACGGGUGCGUAACGCGUGGGAAUCUGCCCUUGGGUUCGGAAUAACUCAGAGAAAUUUGAGCUAAUACCGGAUGAUGACGUAAGUCCAAAGAUUUAUCGCCCAAGGAUGAGCCCGCGUAAGAUUAGCUAGUUGGUGGGGUAAAGGCCUACCAAGGCCACGAUCGGUAGCUGGUCUGAGAGGAUGAUCAGCCACACUGGGACUGAGACACGGCCCAGACUCCUACGGGAGGCAGCAGUGGGGAAUAUUGGACAAUGGGCGAAAGCCUGAUCCAGCAAUGCCGCGUGAGUGAUGAAGGCCUUAGGGUUGUAAAGCUCUUUUACCAGGGAUGAUAAUGACAGUACCUGGAGAAUAAGCUCCGGCUAACUCCGUG
rnacentral:rRNA from 1 species